GGAGGGGUGGCCGAGUCUGGUUGAAGGCGGCGGUCUUGAAAACCGCAGACGCCGAAAGGCGUCCGGGGGUUCGAAUCCCUCCCCCUCCGCCA
rnacentral:tRNA from 1 species